rnacentral:tRNA from 1 species
GCGCGGGUGGCGAAAUCGGUAAACGCAGCAGACUUAAAAUCUGCCGCCCUCACAGGCGUACGGGUUCAAGUCCCGUCCCGCGCACCA